GACGAACGCUGGCGGCGUGCUUAACACAUGCAAGUCGAACGGAAAGGCCCUGCUUUUGUGGGGUGCUCGAGUGGCGAACGGGUGAGUAACACGUGAGUAACCUGCCCUUGACUUUGGGAUAACUUCAGGAAACUGGGGCUAAUACCGGAUAGGAGCUCCUGCUGCAUGGUGGGGUUGGAAAGUUUCGGCGGUUGGGGAUGGACUCGCGGCUUAUCAGCUUGUUGGUGGGGUAGUGGCUUACCAAGGCUUUGACGGGUAGCCGGCCUGAGAGGGUGACCGGCCACAUUGGGACUGAGAUACGGCCCAGACUCCUACGGGAGGCAGCAGCGGGGAAUAUUGCACAAUGGGCGGAAGCCUGAUGCAGCAACGCCGCGUGCGGGAUGACGGCCUUCGGGUUGUAAACCGCUUUCGCCUGUGACGAAGCGUGAGUGACGGUAAUGGGUAAAGAAGCACCGGCUAACUACGUG
rnacentral:rRNA from 1 species